rnacentral:rRNA from 1 species
UUGGAGGGCAAGUCUGGUGCCAGCAGCCGCGGUAAUUCCAGCUCCAAUAGCGUAUAUUAAAGUUGUUGCAGUUAAAAAGCUCGUAGUCGAAUUUCGGGAUCAAUUUAUUGGUCGUGCCAACGGUACGCACUGGUACAAUUGGUUUCUCCCUUCUGACGAAGCAUGAUGUCAUUAAUUUGAUGUCGUGGGGAAUCAGGACUGUUACUUUGAAAAAAUUAGAGUGUUUAAAGCAGGCUUUGGCUUGAAUACAUUAGCAUGGAAUAAUGAAAUAGGACGUUUAAUUCUAUUUUGUUGGUUUCUAGGAUUGACGUAAUGAUUAAUAGGGAUAGUUGGGGGCAUUAGUAUUCAAUUGUCAGAGGUGAAAUUCUUGGAUUUAUUGAAGACUAACUACUGCGAAAGCAUUUGCCAAGGAUGUUUUCAUUAAUCAAGAACGAAAGUUAGGGGAUCGAAGACGAUCAGAUACCGUCGUAGUCUUAACCAUAAACUAUGCCGACUAGGGAUCGGGUGAUGUUAAUUUAUGACUCAUUCGGCGCCUUACGGGAAAC